rnacentral:rRNA from 1 species
UACGGAGGGUGCAAGCGUUGUCCGGAUUCACUGGGCUUAAAGGGUGCGUAGGCGGUUAUGUAAGUCAGUGGUGAAAGCCCGCGGCUCAACCGUGGAAUUGCCAUUGAAACUGCGUAACUUGAGUAUAGUUGAAGUGGGCGGAAUACAUCAUGUAGCGGUGAAAUGCUUAGAUAUGAUGUAGAACACCGAUUGCGAAGGCAGCUCACUAAACUGUAACUGACACUGAGGCACGAAAGCGUGGGGAGCGAACAGG